rnacentral:rRNA from 1 species
GACGAACGCUGGCGGCGUGCCUAAUACAUGCAAGUUGAACGCACGAAGUUGAAGAGCUUGCUCUUUAACCAAGUGAGUGGCGGACGGGUGAGUAACACGUGGGUAACCUGCCCAUUAGAGGGGGAUAACAUUCGGAAACGGAUGCUAAUACCGCAUAGUUUCAGGGAUCGCAUGAUUCUUGAAGGAAAGGUGGCUUCGGCUACCACUAAUGGAUGGACCCGCGGCGUAUUAGCUAGUUGGUGAGGUAAUGGCUCACCAAGGCAAUGAUACGUAGCCGACCUGAGAGGGUGAUCGGCCACACUGGGACUGAGACACGGCCCAGACUCCUACGGGAGGCAGCAGUAGGGAAUCUUCCGCAAUGGACGAAAGUCUGACGGAGCAACGCCGCGUGAGUGAAGAAGGUUUUCGGAUCGUAAAACUCUGUUGUUAAAGAAGAACAAGGAUGAGAGUAACUGCUCAUCCCCUGACGGUAUUUAACCAGAAAGCCACGGCUAACUACGUGCCAGCAGCCGCAGUAAUACGUAGGUGGCAAGCGUUGUCCGGAUUUAUUGGGCGUAAAGCGAGCGCAGGCGGUUCUUUAAGUCUGAUGUGAAAGCCCCCGGCUCAACCGGGGAGGGUCAUUGGAAACUGGAGAACUUGAGUGCAGAAGAGGAGAGUGGAAUUCCACGUGUAGCGGUGAAAUGCGUAGAUAUGUGGAGGAACACCAGUGGCGAAGGCGACUCUCUGGUCUGUAACUGACGCUGAGGCUCGAAAGCGUGGGGAGCAAACAGG